UGAGGUUUAUCUAAGUUCUAGGAACCAAGCCAAGCAUUGUAGAGUCAAUCCGUUCUAUUCUCAGUUAUGAUUAAUGCUUAUAUGGUUAUGGUCAAUCCGUUCUAUUCUCGGUUAUGAUUAAUGCUUAUCUGGUUGUGGUUUCAGGAACUAAGGAUGGUUCUGGUCAAGCCAAGGAGCCGUGAAGGCUCGGGCAGUGAGAGGCUGUGUAACGUGUGGUUAGAUGAUACUAGGGAUGAACUA
rnacentral:lncRNA from 1 species